UAGUUGAAGUCCUUCCUCAAAACAAACAA
rnacentral:piRNA from 1 species